UACGUAGGGUCCGAGCGUUGUCCGGAGUUACUGGGCGUAAAGCGCGCGCAGGCGGCCCGGCAAGCAUGGCGUGAAAGCCCCCGGCUCAACCGGGGAGAGUCGUCGUGGACUGCCGGGCUUGAGGGCGGUAGGGGUUGGUGGAAUUCCCGGUGUAGUGGUGAAAUGCGUAGAGAUCGGGAGGAACACCCGUGGCGAAGGCGGCCAACUGGGCCGACCCUGACGCUGAGGCGCGAAGGCGUGGGGAGCGAACGGG
rnacentral:rRNA from 1 species